rnacentral:SRP_RNA from 1 species
UCGUACUAGGCGGGGGGCUGGUGGUCUCCUGUAACCCGAAACCCACCUUAGCGGGGCCGAAUUCCCUGACUGAGGCUAUCUGGGUUCGGUAUCGGUGCAUUCGGUGACGUUGAAGAUUGGGUCCUACGCAACAACUACCUGCGAACCGGGUCAGGUCCGGAAGGAAGCAGCCCUAAGUAGGCAAGUGUGUGCCGUAGGGGUGCCCAGUCGGAGUCAUUUAGAAUGCAUGCGACCGGGUCUAGGUAUGUCGAAGCAGGGUGUACGG